rnacentral:lncRNA from 1 species
AGAUCCUAUCUAAUUUUCCACAAUGAGAAAUCCCCAUGUUGUCACACAAAAUAAGAGGAAUAAAAAGAAGUGGCAUGGAGGGGUUAUAGAUAAUGUCAAACAUUAUCUAAUAGGUAUCCUAUUUCAAAUCAGACUUGAACAUACCAUUUAAAACCAUAUCCUAUCCAAUUUUGGAUGUCAAAAAGGGAAGGGAAAGGUCUUUUGUGUGAAGAAAUCACACAUAAAAAAACUUUUGUCAUGAGG